AUUAGAGUUUGAUCCUGGCUCAGAACGAACGCUGGCGGCGUGGUUUAGGCAUGCAAGUCGAACGAGAAAGCGACCUUCGGGUCGUGAUUAAAGUGGCGAACGGGUGAGUAACAGGUGGGUAACGUGCCCCAAAGUGGGGGAUAACUCCGAGAAAUCGGUGCUAAUACCGCAUACGACCUUCUGGACCAAGGUCUUGAACGUUAAAGGUUGGUCUUUCGGGAUGUGUCGCUUUGGGAUCGGCCCGCCCCCGAUUAGCUUGAUGGUGAGGUAACGGCUCACCAUGGCAACUAUCGGUAGCUGGUCUGAGAGGAUGGUCAGCCACACUGGGACUGAGAUACGGCCCAGACUCCUACGGGGGGCAGCAGUCUAGAGGCUUCGGCAAUGGGGGAAACCCUGACCGAGCGACGCCGCGUGCGGGAUUGAAGGUGUUUACAUCGUAAACCGCUGUUCAAGGGGAAGAAUGCCCGGAUGGUGAAUCCGGGAGUGACGGUACCCUUGCAGAAAGCCCCGGCUAACUACGUGCCAGCAGCCGCGGUAAUACGUAGGGGGCAAGCGUUGUUCGGAUUUACUGGGCGUAAAGAGAGUGUAGGCGGUUGACCAAGUCGUGUGUGAAAGCCUUACCGCUCACCGGAAGGACGUCAUGCGAAACUGGUUAACUUGAGUAGGGUAGAGGCAAGCGGAAUUCUUGGUGGAGCGGUGGAAUGUGUAGAUAUCAGGAAGAACACCGGUGGCGAAGGCGGCUUGCUGGGCCCUUACUGACGCUGAGGCUCGAAAGCGUGGGGAGCGAACGGGAUUAGAUACCCCGGUAGUCCACGCUGUAAACGGUGCGCACUAGGUGUGGGGGGUAUCGACCCCCCCUGUGCCGCAGCUAACGCAAUAAGUGCGCCGCCUGGGGAGUACGGCCGCAAGGUUGAAACUCAAAGGAAUUGACGGGGGCCCGCACAAGCGGUGGAGGAUGUGGUUUAAUUCGAUGCAACGCGAAGAACCUUACCUGGGCUUGAACUGCUAGGUAAACCCCUGGAAACAGGGACUGUGGGCAACCGCGACCUAGUAGAGGUGCUGCAUGGCUGUCGUCAGCUCGUGUCGUGAGAUGUUGGGUUAAGUCCCGCAACGAGCGCAACCCUUGUCGUUAGUUACCAGCGCGUUAUGGCGGGGACUCUAGCGAGACUGCCGGUGGUAAACCGGAGGAAGGUGGGGAUGACGUCAAGUCCUCAUGGCCCUUACGUCCGGGGCUACACACGUCCUACAAUGGCCGAGACAACGGGUUGCCAGACCGCGAGGUUGAGCUAAUCCCUUAAACUCGGUCUCAGUUCGGAUUGCAGUCUGCAACUCGACUGCAUGAAGUUGGAAUCGCUAGUAAUCGCGGAUCAGCACGCCGCGGUGAAUACGUUCCCGGGCCUUGUACACACCGCCCGUCACACCACGAAAGUUGGUUGUUCCAGAAGUCGCUGCCGGAACCCGCAAGGGACCAAGGCGCCGAAGGAAUGGCUGGCAAUUGGGGUGAAGUCGUAACAAGGUAGCCGUAAAUC
rnacentral:rRNA from 1 species